ensembl:snRNA U6 U6 spliceosomal RNA
AUGCUUGCUUUGGCAGUACACAUACUGAAAUUGGACCGCUACAGAGAAGAUUAGCAAGGCCCGGUGCAAGGAUGACUCAAAAACUCCUGAAGAGUUCCAUGUUUUU